rnacentral:rRNA from 1 species
GACGAACGCUGGCGGCGUGCUUAACACAUGCAAGUCGAACGGACAGGCCCUGCUUUUGUGGGGUGCUCGAGUGGCGAACGGGUGAGUAACACGUGAGUAACCUGCCCUUGACUUUGGGAUAACUUCAGGAAACUGGGGCUAAUACCGGAUAGGAGCUCCUGCUGCAUGUGGGGGGUUGGAAAGUUUCGGCGGUUGGGGAUGUACUCGCGGCUUAUCAGCUUGUUGGUGGGGUAGUGGCUUACCAAGGCUUGGACGGGUAGCCGGCCUGAGAGGGUGACCGGCCACAUUGGGACUGAGAUACGGCCCAGACUCCUACGGGAGGCAGCAGUGGGGAAUAUUGCACAAUGGGCGGAAGCCUGAUGCAGCAACGCCGCGUGCGGGAUGACGGCCUUCGGGUUGUAAACCGCUUUCGCCUGUGACGAAGCGUGAGUGACGGUAAUGGGUAAAGAAGCACCGGCUAACUACGUG